rnacentral:tRNA from 1 species
AUGUUAAAAAUUUUAGUUUAAUAUUUAUGUUUGUAUUUGUUAAUUAUCAGCGAUUUAUUCGUUCUGAUAUA